CUCUGCUUACCAGCCCAUCUGAGAAGAUGAAACUCACCUGCAUCGUCCUUCUUCUACUUGGAGCUCUGGUCUCCCUGAGCUUCUCUAACAACAGUGACAACAAUCUACCAAGUAAAUGCUGCAAAAUAUACUACGAAGGGCGAGUUCCAGCAGCAGCAGUGACAUCCUGUGAAGUAUCAGAUAACAGAUGCGGCGGCUUGGAUGCUGUAAUCAUAACCACAAGAAAAGGACACAAGGUCUGCAUUAACCCAGAGAAGCAAGAAAAAAUAAUGAAGAAAUGUUCAUCACUGGAUGAUAAGAAGGAUGCUUAAAUGAAACACACACAUGCACAGUGAUGGAAAUUGUUCUGUAUGCUUUCAUUUGUUUGUCAGUUUCUAAUGAUGCUAAAUAGAUAAUAAGAAGUAUUAUGGGAUGGAAAAAAUAUAUGCAAGUAAAGUUAUUUUAUCAUUUUUUUUUGCUUGAAAUGGAAAUUUAUUGUUAUAAAUAAAAUUUAAUGUAUAAAAGA